UAUGUGGUUAUUUGAAUCAAA
ensembl:piRNA 21ur-12421 ncRNA